AGCGAACGCUGGCGGCAGGCCUAACACAUGCAAGUCGAACGAACUCUUCGGAGUUAGUGGCGGACGGGUGAGCAACACGUGGGAACGUGCCUUUAGGUUCGGAAUAACUCAGGGAAACUUGUGCUAAUACCGAAUGUGCUCUUCGGGGGAAAGAUUUAUCGCCUUUAGAGCGGCCCGCGUCUGAUUAGCUAGUUGGUGAGGUAAAGGCUCACCAAGGCGACGAUCAGUAGCUGGUCUGAGAGGAUGAUCAGCCACAUUGGGACUGAGACACGGCCCAAACUCCUACGGGAGGCAGCAGUGGGGAAUCUUGCGCAAUGGGCGAAAGCCUGACGCAGCCAUGCCGCGUGAAUGAUGAAGGUCUUAGGAUUGUAAAAUUCUUUCACCGGGGACGAUAAUGACGGUACCCGGAGAAGAAGCCCCGGCUAACUUCGUGCCAGCCGCCGCGGUAA
rnacentral:rRNA from 1 species